rnacentral:rRNA from 1 species
CAAGACCUGCGCUUUUGGAGCGGCCGAUGCCUGAUUAGCUUGUUGGUAAGGUAAAAGCUUACCAAGGCUUCGAUCAGUAGCUGGUCUGAGAGGACGACCAGCCACACUGGGACUGAGACACGGCCCAGACUCCUACGGGAGGCAGCAGUGGGGAAUUUUGGACAAUGGGGGCAACCCUGAUCCAGCCAUGCCGCGUGAGUGAAGAAGGCCUUCGGGUUGUAAAGCUCUUUCAGCCGGAACGAAACGGUUACGGAUAACACCCGUGACUACUGACGGUACCGGAAGAAGAAGCACCGGCUAACUACGUGCCAGCAGCUGCGGUAAUACGUAGGGUGCGAGCGUUAAUCGGAAUUACUGGGCGUAAAGCGUGCGCAGGUGGUUUUGUAAGUCAGAUGUGAAAGCCCCGGGCUCAACCUGGGAACU